UAGGGAAUCUUCCGCAAUGGACGAAAGUCUGACGGAGCAACGCCGCGUGAGUGAAGAAGGAUCUCGGUUCGUAAAACUCUGUUGUUAGGGAAGAAAAAAUGUAUAGUAACUAUAUACAAAAGAGACGGUACCUAACCAGAAAGCCACGGCUAACUACGUGCCAGCAGCCGCGGUAAUACGUAGGUGGCAAGCGUUGUCCGGAAUUAUUGGGCGUAAAGCGCGCGCAGGUGGUUUAGAAAGUCUGAUGUGAAAGCCCACGGCUCAACCGUGGAGGGUCAUUGGAAACUAAUAAACUUGAGUGCAGGAGAGAAAAGUGGAAUUCCUAGUGUAGCGGUGAAAUGCGUAGAGAUUAGGAGGAACACCGGUGGCGAAAGCGGCUUUUUGGCCUGCAACUGACACUGAGGCGCGAAAGCGUGGGGAGCAAACAGG
rnacentral:rRNA from 1 species